rnacentral:lncRNA from 1 species
CGUUCCCGCACGCACGGACGGCCCAGAUUCACGCGUACGGACGGUGCAGAUUCAAUCAGGCACGGACAGCCCAUAUUGCAUCGCGAUGGACGGCCCAGAUUUAAUCCCAAUUAAAUCGUGAUCGGACGGUUCAGAUUUAAUCUUGAUGGACGGUUGAGAUUAAAAGGCAAAUGGUAUAAAUAACCCCACCCACACUUGACCACAAAACCCUAGCCGCCAGUGCCUCGUCGGAG